rnacentral:rRNA from 1 species
UGGUUUCGGUAGGUGAACCUGCGGAAGGAUCAUUG